rnacentral:rRNA from 1 species
CAGCCGCCGCGGGAAUACGUAGGGUGCGAGCGUUAAUCGGAAUUACUGGGCGUAAAGCGUGCGCAGGCGGUUAUAUAAGACAGAUGUGAAAUCCCCGGGCUCAACCUGGGACCUGCAUUUGUGACUGUAUAGCUAGAGUACGGUAGAGGGGGAUGGAAUUCCGCGUGUAGCAGUGAAAUGCGUAGUUAUGCGGAGGAACAUCGAUGGCGAAGGCAAUCCCCUGGACCUGUACUGACGCUCAUGCACGAAAGCGUGGGGAGCAAACAGGAUUAGAUACCCCGGUAGUCCCUGUCUCUUAUAC